GAUGAACGCUGGCAGCGUGCCUAAUACAUGCAAGUCGAGCGAACAGAUGAGGAGCUUGCUCCUCUGACGUUAGCGGCGGACGGGUGAGUAACACGUGGAUAACCUACCUAUAAGACUGGGAUAACUUCGGGAAACCGGAGCUAAUACUGGAUAAUAUAUUGAACCGCAUGGUUCAAUAGUGAAAGACGGUUUUGCUGUCACUUAUAGAUGGAUCCGCGCCGCAUUAGCUAGUUGGUAAGGUAACGGCUUACCAAGGCAACGAUGCGUAGCCGACCUGAGAGGGUGAUCGGCCACACUGGAACUGAGACACGGUCCAGACUCCUACGGGAGGCAGCAGUAGGGAAUCUUCCGCAAUGGGCGAAAGCCUGACGGAGCAACGCCGCGUGAGUGAUGAAGGUCUUCGGAUCGUAAAACUCUGUUAUUAGGGAAGAACAAAUGUGUAAGUAACUAUGCACGUCUUGACGGUACCUAAUCAGAAAGCCACGGCUAACUACGUG
rnacentral:rRNA from 1 species